UUUCCCAAAGGAUUCUUCUAUGCCACGGUAAGUCAUAGAAGAACUAGGGUUUCUUGAUUCAUCUAUCGCAUUGUCGUCUCUCUCACUACACCAGCCAAUAUCACUUAUUUCAGGCCCUACGUGAAGUAGUUGAAGAAGAGGGAGAAUGGUGGAAAUUCGGAUAUGAGAAAUCAUAAGUAUCACUGAGUUCUAAGAAAGUGAUUCCUCCUUAUUGCUGUAUGAGAUCAUGGACGUGCAAGCCUAGAUAAAUCACAAAAAAUAUUGAUGCAACUAACGCAAGGGAUCAUGGGAACUUCAAUGUCAUGACCAAAUUCUCUUUUAGUGAACAAAUUGUCACUCUUUUAUUAAUAUUUCACUGAACCAUAGUCAUAUUUAGUAUGCUAAUUGUUCAUUUAUGAAUUUCAGAUCUGGUUUCAAAAAUGCAUUAAUAGCAUGCACAAAACUUGUAUCAUGUUGGUGCAAUUUGAGAAGUUGAUCUAGUGAAAUGUAGCUCAUUAUCCUGGUGCAUAAUAAGGUUUGAUCUGGUGCAAUCUAGCCCAUCAUUUCGGUUUACAAAUGGAUCUUUAAGCUUGUGCAAGUACGUGUGGCACAUAUGGAAAACUUCCAUAUGAUCAAGGAAUGAAGAAAUUUGUUAGACGUGAAAAUGUAUUGGAUUCAAAUUAUUU